rnacentral:rRNA from 1 species
GCAUUCCUACGGGAGGCAGCAGUGGGGGAUAUUGCACAAUGGGGGGAACCCUGAUGCAGCGACGCCGCGUGAGGGAAGACGGCCUUCGGGUUGUAAACCUCUGUCGCAGGGGACGAAGGAGAUGACGGUACCCUGUGAGGAAGCCACGGCUAACUACGUGCCAGCAGCCGCGGUAAUACGUAGGUGGCGAGCGUUGUCCGGAAUUACUGGGUGUAAAGGGAGCGUAGGCGGGAUAUUAAGUUGAAUGUAUAAACUACCGGCUUAACCGAUAGAGGCGUUCAAAACUGAUAUUCUUGAGUAUGGGG